rnacentral:SRP_RNA from 1 species
GGGCAAGCUAGGUUGGGAUGUUAGCCGUAUCCUGUAGCCACAAAUCGGCUUUAUGGUGGAACUGAAGCUGCUUGAGCGGUACACGUCUUAUGAUUGUGUCCUGGUAGGGGCGUUGAGGUUCUGUCCGUAUUGGUUGGGUUAAGAGGAACCGUGUCAGGCGGGGAACCGAGCAGCACUAACUGUUGGCUUUAACGCUUUACGGGUCGCGGAAAGGAGUCGCUAACAGGGUAGCGCGAUCAUGGAGGCUUGUGCUCAUCGGGCAGCGUGCUUGUCC